rnacentral:rRNA from 1 species
GACGAACGCUGGCGGCGUGCCUAAUACAUGCAAGUCGAACGCUGAAGGAGGAGCUUGCUCUUCUGGAUGAGUUGCGAACGGGUGAGUAACGCGUAGGUAACCUGCCUGGUAGUGGGGGAUAACUAUUGGAAACGAUAGCUAAUACCGCAUAAUAACAGUUGUUGCAUGACAACUGUUUGAAAGGUGCAAUUGCAUCACUACCAGAUGGACCUGCGUUGUAUUAGCUAGUUGGUGGGGUAACGGCUCACCAAGGCGACGAUACAUAGCCGACCUGAGAGGGUGAUCGGCCACACUGGGACUGAGACACGGCCCAGACUCCUACGGGAGGCAGCAGUAGGGAAUCUUCGGCAAUGGACGAAAGUCUGACCGAGCAACGCCGCGUGAGUGAAGAAGGUUUUCGGAUCGUAAAGCUCUGUUGUAAGAGAAGAACGAGUGUGAGAGUGGAAAGUUCACACUGUGACGGUAUCUUACCAGAAAGAGACGGCUAACUACGUG